rnacentral:rRNA from 1 species
UACGGAGGGUGCGAGCGUUACCCGGAUUUACUGGGUGUAAAGGGCGUGUAGGCGGUCUCUCAAGUCCGAUGCUAAAGACCGAAGCUCAACUUCGGGGGUGCGUUGGAUACUGUGAGGCUAGACGGUCGGAGAGGGUAGCGGAAUUUCCGGAGUAGCGGUGAAAUGCGUAGAUACCGGAAGGAACGCCAAUAGCGAAGGCAGCUACCUGGACGAUUUGUGACGCUGAGGCGCGAAAGCGUGGGGAGCAAACCGG